GAGAGACGAAACGGCAUAUAUAUUAGAAGAAUAUAUCAAUGUCUUGUACAUGUACUGUGGUAUUAUGAUUUCAACCUUUAUGUUACCUAGCCUGAUGUUACCUAGGUAACAGCUCAGGUGGGCCUUUACGCUUCAGCAAAAAAGGAAAGGAGUGGUGCUCAACAACAAUGACAAAAUCAAUCUCUGUCUUGUUUUGUUGAGUGCUCCAACUCCUUUUUACCUCGAAUUAGUCCAUUUGGAAGUUUUUCUGAGUAAGCCAUUCUCGUUACCUAGGUGACCUAUACGUUAGCUAGGCUGAUGUUACUUAAGUUACCUUCAUGUUACCUAGAUGCGGAUCUGAGUUGGCUACAGAACGUGACUACCAGGCUAUUGACAAGAGCACAUGUGGCUGUGGUACAUAUCAGACCUCUGUAAGGCUGAAGGUGGGGGUUGAGGAAGGUUGUGGUACUUACUAGACCUCUGUAGGGCUGAAGGUGGGGGUUGAGGAAGGCUGCAGUACUUACUAAACCUCUGUAGGGCUGAAGGUGGGGGUUGAGGAAGGCUGCAGUACUUACUAAACCUCUGUAGGGCUGAAGGUGGGGGUUGAGGAAGGUUGUGGUACUUACUAGACCUCUGUAGGGCUGAAGGUGGGGGUUGAGGAAGGCUGCAGUACUUCCUAGACCUCUGUAGGGCUGAAGAUGGGGGUUGAGGAAGGCUGCAGUACUUACUAAACCUCUGUAGGGCUGAAGGUGGGGGUUGAGGAAGGUUGUGGUACUUACUAGACCUCUGUAGGGCUGAAGGUGGGGGUUGAGAAAGGCUAUGGUACUUCCUAGACCUCUGUAGGGCUGAAGGUGGGGGUUGAGGAAGGUUGUGGUACUUACUAGACCUCUGUAGGGCUGAAGGUGGGGGUUGAGGAAGGCUGCAGUACUUACUAAACCUCUGUAGGGCUGAAGGUGGGGGUUGAGAAAGGCUAUGGUACUUCCUAGACCUCUGUAGGGCUGAAGGUGGGGGUUGAGGAAGGCUGCAGUACUUACUAAACCUCUGUAGGGCUGAAGAUGGGGGUUGAGGAAGGUU